rnacentral:rRNA from 1 species
CUCGGGCUGCAGCAGUAGGGAAUCUCCCGCAAUGGGCGAAAGCCUGACGGAGCAACGCCGCGUGAGUGAUAAAGGUCUUCGGAUCGUAAAACUCUGUUAUUAGGGAAGAACAAAUGUGUAAGUAACUAUGCACGUCUUGGCGGUACCUAAUCAGAAAGCCACGGCUAACUACGUGCCAGCAGCCGCGGUAAUACGUAGGUGGCAAGCGUUAUCCGGAAUUAUUGGGCGUAAAGCGCGCGUAGGCGGUUUUUUAAGUCUGAUGUGAAAGCCCACGGCUCAACCGUGGAGGGUCAUUGGAAACUGGAAAACUUGAGUGCAGAAGAGGAAAGUGGAAUUCCAUGUGUAGCGGUGAAAUGCGCAGAGAUAUGGAGGAACACCAGUGGCGAAGGCGACUUUCUGGUCUGUAACUGACGCUGAUGUGCGAAAGCGUGGGGAUCAAACAGGAUUAGAUACCCGAGUAAUC